rnacentral:rRNA from 1 species
ACUCCUACGGGAGGCAGCAGCGGGGAAUAUUGGACAAUGGGCGAAAGCCUGAUCCAGCCAUGCCGCGUGUGUGAAGAAGGUCUUCGGAUUGUAAAGCACUUUAAGUUGGGAGGAAGGGUUGUAGAUUAAUACUCUGCAAUUUUGACGUUACCGACAGAAUAAGCACCGGCUAACUUCGUGCCAGCAGCCGCGGUAAU